UACGUAGGUGGCAAGCGUUGUCCGGAUUUAUUGGGUUUAAAGGGUGCGUAGGUGGUCUAUUAAGUCAGUGCUGAAAUAUCCCGGCUUAACCGGGAGGGUGGCAUUGAUACUGAUGGACUUGAGUGGAGUUGAGGUAGGCGGAAUUGACGGUGUAGCGGUGAAAUGCUUAGAUAUCGUCAAGAACACCAAUAGCGAAGGCAGCUUACUAAGCUCUAACUGACACUGAUGCACGAAAGUGUGGGGAUCAAACAGGG
rnacentral:rRNA from 1 species